rnacentral:rRNA from 1 species
UACGGAGGAUGCGAGCGUUAAUCGGAAUCACUGGGCGUAAAGCGCGCGUAGGCGGCUUUUCAAGUCAGGGGUGAAAUCCCACGGCCCAACCGUGGAACUGCCUUUGAAACUGUAGAGCUUGAGUGUCGGAGAGGGUGGCGGAAUUCCAGGUGUAGGAGUGAAAUCCGUAGAUAUCUGGAGGAACACCGGUGGCGAAGGCGGCCACCUGGACGACAACUGACGCUGAGGUGCGAAAGCGUGGGUAGCAAGCAGG